CCGAAGGCGGUCGUCUUGCUUGCCUGCUCUGAGGGCUGAGUGAAUACCCGCUGGGCGGACACUGCCCGAGGUGCUCUGGCUCCAGGUGCUGCCGGCCACCCCGUCAGCUGUGCCCGCUGCCCCGACCCUGGACUGCUGCCCCCUCCUGGGAGCGCCCUAGCCCUCCAGCUCCGCGCCUGAACUUUUCUGCAUGCCCAGGCUCCCCUCCUGUGAUGCUCUCCUCCAUCACCCAGCCCUCAGUGCCGGGGGCCUCCCACCCGUGCGCGCUUCACCUGCAUCACACGUUCUCGGGGGCUUACAAUUCGCCCACAGGCCUUGGGUCCUCGGACAAAAGUUUUGUCCUUCCAAAGUCAGCUGUCAUGGCAUGUUAGCUGAGUAGGUGGAAGAAAGUAAGGUAUUAGAUGUUUCAGAUCACCAGAAAUUCACCUCCAGUCAGGGGAUCUGGUGCUUAUAACUUGAGAAGUCCAGAGAAAGCAAGCAAAGUGCAGCAGGUGGGAAGGAGGUGUGGGCAGAUACGGCACAGGUUUGGGGCAGGUGUGGGGCAGGCAUAGAGCAGACGUGGGACAGGUGUGGGGCAGACAUGGGGCAGGAGUGGGCAGAUACAGCACAGGUUU
ensembl:lncRNA